CUUAGAAGAGGGAUGCCGUAAUCCAAGCUAUAAAAUAUUUGAAGGUAGGUGAAUGACGAUUCACCAAUUUCCACCAUAAAACGGAAUAAAUCUUAUUAGGUUUAAAUUGGUUUAGAAAUUCCUAGGUUCUUUGAGAUUCAUUGAACUUUUCAAUGGCAUGUUUCAAUCUCGAGUGUGCCCUUCAAGUUGUGUGACUGGGAUGUCGAGGAUCACAUAACAAGGUGUGAAGUAACCAUGCAAAUUACUUGGUACACUUAAUGCAUUACCGCCCAAUCGAAGUGUCGGUUAACCACACGCGCUCCAACGAUACUAUGAUUAACAUUAAGUCACCCUUUGCUUACCUUGAUAAGUCUAAGUUAGUGUGCCGGUUAACCACACACGCUCCACUAACNCAUAAAGAUGCUUUAUCUAAGCUAGUGGAAGAAUCGAUACACAAUACAUUAUUUCCUAAGUUAUCUACAACAGAUACAGUUUCAUACACACCAUCACAAGGUAAUGCUUUAAAAUAAAGAACACUAUUAUAGAAAGCAUCAAUACCACCACUUUUAUUAUCAAAAUAAAAGGUGAAACCUUGUUUAUACAAUGCAUGAAAGGAAAUAACAUUUCUUGCCAUUUCUGGCGAAUAACAACAUUUAUUCAAGUAUAAUUUAAAUCAAUUAUCUAGUAACAAGGAAUAAACUCAAAUCUUGGUGACAGGUGAAACUUUCCUAUUCGCCAUGAUUAGGUUUAUCUUUCCAUGCUCCAAAUCCUCACUUCUUCUUAGUCCCUGCAGAUCAGAACAUAUGUGAAUUCCACAACCUGUAUCAAUGACCCAAGACUUAGAAAGAGGUGAUUUAUUAGACAAUAUAGUGUAUAUACCUGCAUGGUUGGGUUUUACUCUCCCAUCCUUAAGAUCUUGCUGGUAUUUAGGGCAGUUUCGCUUCCAGUGCGACUUUUCAUGGCAAUAGAAGCAUUCAGCCUCAUUAGGGUUAGCAGAAGGAGUGACAAAACCUUUCUUUGUUUAGCUUGAAGAUGAGACUUCAAGGGUCUUACCCUUGGUACCCUUAGAAGGGUUCUUUCUCUUCUUACAUUUGCCAUGCCCGAUUGCCAAGACAUUAGUCGCAGUAGGAGUAGGACUAGGAGGAGUAGUAACACCCGACUUACCCUUCAGACUACUUUGUGCAGUCUUUAAGAGUUCUUGAAGUUUACUAAGUGUAACUUCUUCCUUAUUCAUGUGGUAUGUCAUUCUAAAUUGAUCAUAACAUGAAGGUAAGGAGUGCAAAAUGAUAUCUAUUGCCAACUCCUCAGAAAAGUCAACAUUCAGUUUCUUCAAGCGAUCCACAAAUCUUUGCAUUUUCUGCAUGUGGGUCGUGAGGGACUCAUUUUCCUUCAUUUGGGUGGUUAUCAUGGAGGAGAUUAUUUCAUACCUCUCUUGACGUGCACUUUGCUGGUAUCGCUCCAUCAAGUCCAUGUGCAUCUCAAAAGGGUUAUAGUCCUCAUUAGACUUUUGGAGGUCAUCUGUCAUUGUGGUAGUCAUGAUACAUGCUACUUUGAUAGCAUCCCUUUCAUGUGCCUGAAAUGCAACAAUCUCCUCUGGGUAGCAGUUGACUCAUCAAUCUCCUCCAGCUCCCUAUCAAGGACAUAUUCUCUGUCCUCAUAGCGAGUGACCAUCCUAAUGUUUUUGAUCCAAUCCAUAAAAUUUGAUCCAUUAAAGAUGAUUCUCCUACAAAUGUUCAUGAGAGAGAAGGAGCCAGUAGGGUUUGAGCAAGAAGCAUUGUUUUUGGAAGACAUCUGAAAUUAAAGAAUAAGUUUAGAUUAGAUUUCAGGAUAGUCCAUAUUAAAGCACCCAAAUGCUAUAUUAAGGCUAGGACCCAACAAAAUAUUUCAUAACUUAGAAGAGGGAUGCCGUAAUCCAAGCUAUAAAAUAUUUGAAGGUAGGUGAAUGACGAUUCACCAAUUUCCACCAAGAUAAACGAAAUGAAUUAUUAGGUUUUAAUUGGUUUUGAAACUCCUAGAUCUUUGAGAUUCAUUGAACUUUUCAAUGGCAUGUUUCAAUCUCGAGUGUGCCCUUCAAGUUGUGUGACUGGGAUGUCGAGGAUCACAUAACAAGGUGUGAAGUAACCAUGCAAAUUACUUGGUACACUUAAUGCAUUACCGCCCAAUCGAAGUGUCGGUUAACCACACGCGCUCCAACGAUACUAUGAUUAACAUUAAGUCACCCUUUGCUUACCUUGAUAAGUCUAAGUUAGUGUGCCGGUUAACCACACACGCCCCACUAGUGUGCCGGUUAACCACACACGCCCCACUAGUGUGCAAAGUGUAAUUUCAUGGAUUAGCACCCUAUUCACAUUUUCCUAAAGUAACUAAGAUUGGGAAUUAAUAAAUGUUUA
rnacentral:lncRNA from 1 species